rnacentral:tRNA from 5 species
GCCGUUGUAGCUCAGUCGGUAGAGCGUGUGACUGUUAAUCACAAGGUCCACGGUUCGAUCCCGUGCGACGGCGCCA